rnacentral:rRNA from 1 species
CCCGCUGAACUUAAGCAUAUCAAUAAGCGGAGGAAAAGAAACCAACAGGGAUUCCCUUAGUAACGGCGAGUGAAGCGGGAACAGCUCAAUUUUGAAAUCUCACAGGUUUCCUGUGCGAAUUGUAGUUUCAAGAAGCGUUUUCGGGGACAACUUAAAUCCAAGUCCGUUGGAACGCGGUGCCAUAGAGGGUGAGAGCCCCGUUGGAUUUUAUGUUUGUUCCUGUACGAUACGUUUUCAAAGAGUCGGAUAGUUUGGGAUUGCUGUCCAAAAUGGGUGGUAAAUAUCAUCUAAAGCUAAAUAUUGGCGAGAGACCGAUAGCGAACAAGUACCGUGAGGGAAAGAUGAAAAGAACUUUGAAAAGAGAGUUAAACAGUACGUGAAAUUGUCAAAAGGGAAACGCUUGAAACCAGUAUUGAAUGUUAGAUAUCAGCCUUCAUGGUGCAUUAUCUAACAUUUGGGUCAACAUCGGUUUGGUUUGGAGUAAAAAACUAGAUGAAGGUAGCCCUUCGGGGUGUUAUAGCAUCGAGUCAUGCUCUGGACUGGACCGAGGACUGCAGCCGCCUUGGGGAACUUGUCGCCUUGAAAUGCGCAGUUGCAAACAACUUGUUGAUUGUAAGUGUUGCACUAGAGCACGGUAAGGUACCACUAUCGGCUUAGGAUGUUGACGAAAUGGUUUUAAACGACCCGUCUUGAAACACGG